rnacentral:lncRNA from 1 species
GCCCUUUGGAAGUAAACAAAUAUUGAAGAAAGUGUUGUGCCUUCACAGAAUUUAAAUUGGCAUUAGGAAUAGAUUUCCUUGAUUUAGUAAUGAUAUUGCUCAUAGAAAUUGAUAAUAUACUAUCUUAUAUUCACUCGUUCAAGUGCUGAUCUAUUUUUAAAUUGAAUAUUUAUUUUUAUUCAAAUAUAUUGAAAUUAAUAUGGAAACAAAAGUUCAUAAAUAUUAUUCUUAAUAACAAGAAUUGAGAUUUGGGGAUAAGUUUGAAAAGCCAUGUCAGAAGAGUAGAAUUAAAGACAAAGUAUUAAGAGUAAUUGGGCUGUUCCUGAACAAUAUUGAAUAUAAAUAUUCAAAAAUAUGAUUGAUAACUGCAUAUCCUACUAAGUAGAUCAAUACCAAAAUCCCGUUAGAGAAAUAAGUUAAAAUUAUGUUUUACUUGUAUAAUUUUUUGCUAUUUGUCCACCAUUAUUUGUGACUUAGAAAUUAAAUAGUCAAAAAGAAUUUAGUACCAGUUUUUAUUUCCCAAAAAAAUUAAUUGUUAAAUAAUUACAUAUUGCUUAAGAUACAGUAUAUUAUAUUGUGUUUAUAGUUGAUAAUUCUAGUUCUUAGUUGUUUAUAGUUGAUAAUUAACAAUAUUUCUGAUGUUAGAUAUUAUAUUAGAUAAAAAAUUUAAUUACCAAUAGCUACCUACCUAUGUAGCUGCAGAUUAUAUAUUGUGUAGUAGGUACUGUAUAAUUCUUUAGUUCAAGAAACAAGUAUCAGUACAAGUAUAUAACCAAAAAAAUGUUGAUGCAAAUUCUUUGUAUAAC